rnacentral:rRNA from 1 species
UACAGAGGGUGCGAGCGUUAAUCGGAAUUACUGGGCGUAAAGCGCGUGUAGGCGGGACCGCAAGUCAGAUGUGAAAUCCCCGGGCUCAACCCGGGAACUGCAUCUGAAACUGCGGACCUUGAGUAUUGGAGAGGGCGGCGGAAUUCCUGGUGUAGAGGUGAAAUUCGUAGAUAUCAGGAGGAACACCGGUGGCGAAGGCGGCCGCCUGGACAAUUACUGACGCUGAGACGCGAAAGCGUGGGGAGCAAACAGG